rnacentral:lncRNA from 1 species
CUGUGUGCCUCUCUAAAGAGAGAGAGAGAGAGAGAGAGAGAGAGAGAGAGAGAGAGAGAGAGAGAGAGAGAGAGAGAGAGAGAGAGAGAGAAGGAAUCCUAUAAACUUGGGAGCUAAAUACGCAAGUGAUCACUCACCCCUAACAUCCAUGACAUCUCACCGCUACACGCCAGACUAUUCUACCGUUCACAGUGAAAUGGCAAGAAAAACGGACUUCCCUUCCCCUUAUUACGGAGAACCACGGAGGUUUGACCCAACAUUCAGAGGACCAAUUCAAAACAGAUUCUGACGAGGCGUACUGAGAUGUUCCAGAGGAGCAAAAAGGCGUAGCAGGUGCUUACGGUAAGAAUAUUAUUCAUCGUUCUGUAAAAUAAAAGAGCAUGUUAUGUCCCAUUCUUAAAAUUCUCGCUUUAAAUGCUUAAUUACAGAUUCUGACGAGGCAUACCGAGAUUUACCCCGAAGUCUUCCUGGGCCCUGCACUGAAUAAAACUAGCAAAACUGUUUCUCUGCAUUAUUGCCGACAACACUAGAUCAUUUUCUGUUUUGUAAAAGCUUGGGAAGAUCAGUUACACACACUUAUACUUGAUCUAUUAAGC